ACCCUCCUAUUCCCCAAAGCUCAACCCUGUACACGCGCGGACAUUUUUCCCCAAAUCCCACUCCAGCGGUGAGAGCGCCGCCAAAAUAGCACCAAAGCUGCGGCGGCGCACCUCAUCCAUAGCCGCGUCACCCGUGCCCUCUUCAAGCCAUCGCCGUUGCAGGCCCGGGCUCCCGCGGCUGUCGCUGCUGCAGCCGCCGCCGCUGCAUCUGCAGCAGACCUGGGCUCCCGCGGCUGCCGCUGUAGAGGGGCCGCCGCCGCCGCCUUUGCUGCAUCUGCAGCAGACCUGGGCUCCCGCGGCUGCCCCUGUAGAGGGUCCGCCACCGCCGCUGCAGAGGGUCCGCCGCCGUGGAGCUUGACCGACCUGCUGCCCUCGACAACAACUUCAGGCGGAGGCAUCCGUGCUGCUCCCACCCUGCUCCUACCUUGCCGCCCUUGACCAAUACGUCCUCGGUCUGCAACCUGCUGCAACUAUAGGCGUCUUCUUCAACUUCAGAAUCAAAGGCUCCAUUAGAAUCAGAAGAUGACCAUCGCAUCCCUUCAAGGAAUUCCAGCGCCUGAGAUUCCAUGCAUUGUUAUACCACCACCUCCAGCUUUUCCAAGUUUAGCCACUUCGUCUCCGAUCUGUUCUCCAUAAGUG